AUUGAACGCUGGCGGCAUGCUUUACACAUGCAAGUCGAACGGUAACAGGGAGCUUGCUCCGCUGACGAGUGGCGAACGGGUGAGUAAUGCGUCGGAACGUGCCGAGUAGUGGGGGAUAACGCAUCGAAAGGUGUGCUAAUACCGCAUACGUACUGAGGUAGAAAGUGGGGGACCUUCGGGCCUCACGCUAUUCGAGCGGCCGACGUCUGAUUAGCCAGUUGGUGAGGUAAAGGCUCACCAAGGCGACGAUCAGUAGCGGGUCUGAGAGGAUGAUCCGCCACACUGGGACUGAGACACGGCCCAGACUCCUACGGGAGGCAGCAGUGGGGAAUUUUGGACAAUGGGCGCAAGCCUGAUCUAGCCAUGCCGCGUGUCUGAAGAAGGCCUUCGGGUUGUAAAGGACUUUUGUCGGGGAGGAAAUCCCCAGCGCUAAUACCGCUGGGGGAUGACAGUACCUGAAGAAUAAGCACCGGCUAACUACGUGCCAGCCGCCGCCGUAAAAC
rnacentral:rRNA from 1 species